GCACGGGUGAGUAACGCGUAUCCAACCUACCCUUGUCCAUCGGAUAACCCGGCGAAAGGCGGCCUAACACGAUAUGCGGUUCACAGCAGGCAUCUAAGGUGAACGAAAUGUGAAGGAGAAGGAUGGGGAUGCGUCUGAUUAGCUUGUUGGCGGGGUAACGGCCCACCAAGGCUACGAUCAGUAGGGGUUCUGAGAGGAAGGUCCCCCACAUUGGAACUGAGACACGGUCCAAACUCCUACGGGAGGCAGCAGUGAGGAAUAUUGGUCAAUGGACGAGAGUCUGAACCAGCCAAGUAGCGUGCAGGAUGACGGCCCUAUGGGUUGUAAACUGCUUUUAUAGGGGGAUAAAGUGUGCCACGUGUGGCAUAUUGCAGGUACCCUAUGAAUAAGGACCGGCUAAUUCCGUGCCAGCAGCCGCGGUAAUACGGAAGGUCCAGGCGUUAUCCGGAUUUAUUGGGUUUAAAGGGAGCGUAGGCCGUUUGGUAAGCGUGUUGUGAAAUGUCGGGGCUCAACCUGGGCAUUGCAGCGCGAACUGCCAGACUUGAGUGCGCAGGAAGUAGGCGGAAUUCGUCGUGUAGCGGUGAAAUGCUUAGAUAUGACGAAGAACUCCG
rnacentral:rRNA from 1 species